rnacentral:rRNA from 1 species
UAGUUUGAUCCUGGCUCAGAAUGAACGCUGGCGGCGUGCCUAACACAUGCAAGUCGAGCGAGAAAGCGGCUUCGGUCGUGAGUAAAGCGGCGAACGGGUGAGUAACACGUGGAUAACCUGCCUGGAAGUGGGGAAUAACUCGAGGAAACUCGGGCUAAUACCGCAUACGUCCACACCGCAUAAGCGGUGCGAGCAAAGGUGGCCUCUUCAUGAAAGCUGCCGCUUCCAGAUGGGUCCGCGGCUGAUUAGCUGGUUGGUGGGGUAACGGCCUACCAAAGCGACGAUCAGUAGCCGGCCUGAGAGGGCGAUCGGCCACACUGGAACUGAGACACGGUCCAGACUUCUACGGAAGGCAGCAGUGGGGAAUAUUGGACAAUGGGCGAAAGCCUGAUCCAGCAACGCCGCGUGGAGGAUGAAAGCCUUCGGGUUGUAAACUCCUGUCAGGUGGGACGAAAAGGCGUCGGUUAAUACCCGGCGCUGUCGACGGUACCACCGGAGGAAGCCCCGGCUAACUACGUGCCAGCAGCCGCGGUAACACGUAGGGGGCGAGCGUUAUUCGGAAUUAUUGGGCGUAAAGGGCGCGUAGGCGGCCUGGCAAGUCAGUGGUGAAAUCCCUCGGCUCAACCGAGGAACUGCCUCUGAAACUGUCAGGCUUGAGGCCGGGAGAGGGUGGUGGAAUUCCCAGUGUAGCGGUGAAAUGCGUAGAUAUUGGGAGGAACACCAGUGGCGAAGGCGACCACCUGGACCGGUUCUGACGCUGAGGCGCGAAAGUGUGGGGAGCAAAC